rnacentral:rRNA from 1 species
AGCUAGAGUGCAGAGAGAAGGUAGAAUCCCCGUGUAGCGUGAAAUGCGUAGAGAUCGGGAGGAAUACCAGUGCGAAGCGGCCUUCUGGACUGACACUGACGCUGAGGUGCGAAAGCGUGGGUAGCAAACAGGAUUAGAUACCCUGGUAGUCCACGCCGUAAACGAUGUCGACUAGCCGUUGGGGUCCUCGAGACCUUUGUGGCGCAGUUAACGCGAUAAGUCGACCGCCUGGGGAGUACGGCCGCAAGGUUAAAACUCAAAUGAAUUGACGGGGGGCCCGCACAAGCGGUGGAGCAUGUGGUUUAAUUCGAUGCAACGCGAAGAACCUUACCUACCCUUGACAUCCUCGGAAGCCGACAGAGAUGUUGGUGUGCCUUCGGGAGCCGAGUGACAGGUGCUGCAUGGCUGUCGUCAGCUCGUGUUGUGAAAUGUUGGGUUAAGUCCCGUAACGAGCGCAACCCUUGUCCCUAUUUGCCAGCGAUUCGGUCGGGAACUCUAGGGAGACUGCCGGUGACAAACCGGAGGAAGGUGGGGACGACGUCAAGUCAUCAUGGCCCUUACGGGUAGGGCUACACACGUGCUACAAUGGUCGGUACAAAGGGUUGCGAGUUCGCGAGGACGAGCUAAUCCCGAAAAGCCGAUCUCAGUCCGGAUCGGAGUCUGCAACUCGACUCCGUGAAGUCGGAAUCGCUAGUAAUCGUGAAUCAGAAUGUCACGGUGAAUACGUUCCCGGGCCUUGUACACACCGCCCGUCACACCAUGGGAGUGGACUGCACCAGAAGUGGUUAGCCUAACUCUUAUGGGAGGGCGAUCACGUAGAAGAUGGAACGCCCUGGCC